rnacentral:rRNA from 1 species
UAAGCGGAGGAAAAGNAAACUAACAAGGAUUCCCCUAGUAACUGCGAGUGAAGCGGGAAAAGCUCAAAUUUAAAAUCUGGUGGUCUUUGGCCAUCCGAGUUGUAAUCUAGAGAAGCGUCUUCCGCGCUGGACCGUGCACAAGUCUCCUGGAACGGAGCGUCGUAGAGGGUGAGAAUCCCGUCUUUGGCAUGGACACACCAGGGCUUUUGUGAUGCGCUCUCGAAGAGUCGAGUUGUUUGGGAAUGCAGCUCAAAAUGGGUGGUGAACUCCAUCUAAAGCUAAAUAUUGGCGAGAGACCGAUAGCGAACAAGUACCGUGAGGGAAAGAUGAAAAGCACUUUGGAAAGAGAGUGAAACAGUACGUGAAAUUGUUGGAAGGGAAACGCUUGAAGUCAGUCGCGUCGACCGAGACUCAGCCUCGCCUCGGCUUGGUGUACUUCUCGGCCCGACGGGUCAGCAUCAAUUUCGCCUCUUGGAUAAUGGCGAGGGAAACGUGACACCUUCACGGUGUGUUAUAGUCUCUCGUCGCAUGCAAGGGUCGGGAUUGAGGAACUCAGCACGCGCCUUUGGGCGUCGGGGCUUUGCCUACGAUACGUGCUUAGGAUGUUGGCGUAAUGGCUUUAAACGACC